GACCAAGCUACAUAGGGCGCUUGGUGGAUGCCUAGGCGCAAGGAACCGACGAAGGGCGCAGCAGGCUGCGAUAAGCCACGGGGAGCCGCGAGCAGGCUUUGAUCCGUGGAUACCCGAAUGGGGAAACCCGGCGGGGGUAAUGCCCCGUCGCCCAUAACUGAAAGCCUUCGGGCUGUAGUAGGUUGUGGGCGGGCACCGAGGGAACUGAAACAUCUAAGUACCUCGAGGAGCAAAAAUCAAUUUAGAGAUUCCCUGAGUAGUGGCGAGCGAAAGGGGAAGAGCCCAAACCUGAUCCGUGUAAGGCCCAUACCGUUGCGGAUCGGGUGUUGUAGGACCCGAUAGACACCUUUGGGGGUGUCACACAGUUACAAAAUUGCCCGCUAGUCGAAAGGGCUGGAACGCCCUGCCAGAGACGGUGAGAGCCCGGUAGGCGAAAGCGGAGCGAUCUGUGAUCGGUGUUCCUGAGUACCACGGGACACGUGUAACCCUGUGGGAACCUGGGAGGCCCACUUCCCAAGGCUAAAUAUUCCUGGCGACCGAUAGUGAACUAGUACCGUGAGGGAAAGGCGAAAAGUACCCCGGAAGGGGAGUGAAAUAGAACCUGAAACUAAGCGCCUACAGACAGUCAGAGCGCUAUGCCGACCAGAGGCUUAGUUUUGUGAGGCGAGGUUCAGGCGUUAAUCUUCGGAUUAAUGCUUGCUCAGCAAAUCAUGAGGCUGGGUCUCAUUUUGGCGGAAUGCGUGAUGGCGUGCCUUUUGGAGAAUGAUCCGGCGAGUUACGCUGCACGGCAAGGCUAAGGGCCUCAGGUCCGGAGCCGUAGGGAAACCGAGUCUUAAUAGGGCGAACAGUCGUGCGGAGUAGACCCGAAACCAGGUGAGCUACCCGUGGCCAGGAUGAAGCGGAAGUAACAUUCCGUGAAGGUCCGAACCCACCAGAGUUGCAAUUCUGGGGGAUGAGUUGCGGGUAGAGGUGAAAUGCUAAACGAACCUGGAGAUAGCUGGUUCUCCCCGAAAUAGCUCUCGGGCUAGCGUCGAACUUGAAUGUCGUGGAGGUAGAGCACUGACUGAAUGCGGGUCCUAACGGAUACCAAUUUCUAUCAAACUCCGAAUUCCACGGCAUGCGUUCGGCAGUCAGACUGUGGGGGAUAAUCUCCAUAGUCAAGAGGGAAACAACCCAGAUCGCCGGCUAAGGUCCCUAAGUUCUUGCUAAGUGGGAAAGGAUGUGGGGUUGCAGAGACAGCCAGGAUGUUGGCUUAGAAGCAGCCAUCAUUGAAAGAGUGCGUAACUGCUCACUGGUUCAGGAACCCUGCGCCGAAAAUGUAACGGGGCUCAAGCAAGACACCGAAGCCGCGAAUUUGUAUCGCAAGAUGUGAAUGGUAGGGGAGCGUUGUACAGGCCGCGAAGGUCGAGCGUGAGCACGGCUGGAGCGUGUACAAGUGAGAAUGCCGGAAUGAGUAGCGUCAAUGCAGGUGAGAAUCCUGCACCCCGUAAGUCUAAGGUUUCCUGAGCAAGGUUACUCCGCUCAGGGUUAGUCGGUCCUAAGCCGAGGCCGAAAGGCGUAGGCGAUGGAUAACAGGUUUAUAUUCCUGUACCACCUGGUUUACGUUAUCAGCGAAGGGGGGACCCGGUACGGUAGGUUGAGCGUGCUUAUGGCUAUGCACGUCCAAACGUGUAGGAAGGCACCGCAGGUAAAUCCACGGUGCUAUUUCCGAGGCGUGAUGGGAAGCUCAAGGGCAACCGCGAGCAAUUCGAUUGAGCCGAACCGGCUAGAAAAGCCUCGUAGCGAGUAAACCUGGUGUCCGUACCGCAAACCGACACUGGUAGACGCCGGUGAGAACCGGAAGGGGAUCGGGACACGGUCUGCUAAGGAACUCGGCAAAUUAGCCCCGUAACUUCGGGAGAAGGGGUGCCUCGGUAGGGUGAUGAUGCCUCGCGCAUCUGAGCUCGAGGAGGUCGCAGUGCACAGGCUCAAUCGACUGUUUAUCAAAAACACAGGUCCCUGCGAAACCGUAAGGUGAUGUAUAGGGGCUGAUGCCUGCCCAGUGCCGGAAGGUUAAGGGGACGGGUUCACGCUCGGAACCGAAGCCCCGGUGAACGGCGGCCGUAACUCUAACGGUCCUAAGGUAGC
rnacentral:rRNA from 1 species